CGGUCAAAGAUGACGUUAGACAGUUUUGCUUAAUUAAAGAGAUAAUUGUGAUGUGCGAUUGUUGUUGACUUGCUUUGGUAAGCAUAACUGCUGUUGGUAUGCAGACGAGCAACACUGUCCAUUCGACUUGAUUUAUAGAGCUAGGUCGUUUAAACAUUGUUGGCGCUCAAACUUGGGCAAGGCUCCUCAGUUUACAGCGAGGGACACACGUUUUUGCCCGCAAGCGUAAACACACUAACGUGGGUCGAUGGUGCGAAAGCGAGUCCGAGUCAGCGUAAACAGUGUUAACACGCCUUAGCUCUGAAAAUCAAGUUUAAUCGAUAGCGGGUUCGUUCUGUUUUCCAACAGCAGUACUGUUUACCAAAGGCAGAAAGUAAGGUCUUGCAUCAUCUUAUUUCUUUUAAGUGCUGCAGUAUAACGUAAACUCUGACAUUUUGUUGCAUAUGGACAUAUUCUAAUUUACUUUUAUAUGCUAAUACGUGUUUACGUUAUUUAUCUGCAACUAAUUUGGAAAAAAAUAUAGCACAUAGUCAUUUGGAACACUUUACAAUCUAAUCAAUAUAUUUGAACACAACAUAUUGGCGAUGUAUUCUUUGUCUGUAUCCAAUAUAUGUCGUGGUGGUAUCUCUAACAUAUGUUUAUUCAACAGCUGUCCGUGCAUUGGGAUAAGGGCAGGAACUCUACAUGGGCUCCGAGAAACCAUGACCAAACGCUGAAGGUCACCUAUACCAGACUGAACUGUCCGUGCAUAUCGAUAAGGGCAGGAACUCCACAUGGGUUCCGAUACACCCUGGUCAACCGCUGAAUGUCACCUAUACCAGACUGAAGUAUGGACCGUCAUCUCUGCCAUUGCUGUGAAUACAAAGAUAUGAGAUAGCAUUUUUAAAGGUCAAAGAUGACGUUAGACAGGUCAGUUUCCAGUUCGUGUCAGAUGGGACACUAACACGAUCCGGUUCCACUGCUGAAGAAGUAUGGCACAAAUUUUACGGAUGCCAUGAAGAUUCCUCAACUUGGACGUUCCGUAGAGGCUGAACAUCGUUGCAUAUUAAAUAAUUUGG